CUUGCACUCGUUCUUGCAACAUCUCAGUCAUGGUUUCUCGCGUCGUGUUGGUCGUGCUAGCGGUGGUCGUCCUAGCGGCCGCAGCAGUGGCUCUCCCUGACCCCACGAAACGGCACUUGGGAUACGGCUUACACGGAGGAUACGGAGGAUACGGCCUCGGAGGAUUUGGCUUGGGAGGCUACGGAGGCUAUGGCUAUGGAUCCCACUAUCCUUAUUACGGAUCCUACUACGGAUAGAGGCUGGUGCACCAGGUGUUAAGUUAUCUCUGUAUCUUUGUUUUCAAUAAAAAUGUUGCUCAAUAAA